ACCUUAACUCAGCUGGAUAGAGCAUGGUGCUGAUAACGCCAAGGUUGCAGGUUCGAUCCCCGUAUGGGACA